rnacentral:rRNA from 1 species
AGAGUUUGAUCCUGGCUCAGGAUGAACGCUAGCGGCAGGCUUAAUACAUGCAAGUCGUGGGGCAGCGCAGGUAGCAAUACCGGGCGGCGACCGGCAAACGGGUGCGGAACACGUACGCAACCUUCCUUUAAGCGGGGAAUAGCCCAGGGAAACUUGGAUUAAUACCCCAUAAAAUCAUAGGGUGGCAUCAUCUGAUGAUU